AUGGCCGACCUUGAGGAGUUAUGGGUUUCUUCACCAGCCCCCAGAACCUCCCUUUUCUCCCUCAUCUUCAGACGCCUUUCAGCAUCUUCCCCACUUGUCCAGUGAGUUUGGGCUGGCCAGGUCUAAGCACAAGCAACGGCCGAAUGGUAGACCUGCUGGAGAAAGUGGAGAUGCAGAUCAGAGAUGCAGUAUUUUCAUUAACCAAUUUCUUGAGGUCACAUCUACAGUAUCAGCUCAAGUGGAAGAACUUGUCUUCAAAUGUACAGAAAAUGCAUGUUUCCUUAAAACCUGGUGGGACCUCUUAAAAGAAGGCUAUGAUUCUUUGAAACCUGAUGACUGAUUUGGCAUGCUUAGUUAUUAAUGAUUGUGUCAUAACUCAUACUUCCUCAUAUAUGAUAUUUGCAUAUGUACUACGUGUAUAGAAUGAUCUCUUUCCAGCAGUUCUGUAUAUACUCAAUAAUAAUUUUUUUCUUGGUUUUCUUGGCUUUUGUGAAAGCAGAAGGCUGAUGCUAUUUUUAUUGCUGACCAGUACUUGUUUACCCAUUAGUAUUUUCUGCCCUCUAAACUUUUUUAUAAUCCUUUAUGAAAGUUAAUUUCAUCAGUAGAUAGUUAAUAGUGCCAAAGUGCUACCAGUGGCAAACUAGGUAGAUUGUUAUUUGUUUUCAACAAGAUGCCAAGCAUGUCAGAGUUUGAAGUUGAGCUUCAACUUAAAUACAAAGGGAGGUAAUUUUAAGGUUGCCAGUGAAAGAUCCAGUUCCAUUAGGUUUAGUUCUCCAGAGCUAAUGAUUGUUUCUGAUUUAUUUCUAUAUCUCUAGCACCUAAAACAGUGUCGCACAAUAGUCACUAAAUGUUUAUUGAAUAAAGGAGUGGACAAACAUAAUUAAAAGCUAUUUUUCUUCCUAUAUAUAGCAUGAAGAUUGUAAUUGCUUCUCUAGAAAAUGUAUGAAUCCAAACUUUACUAAC